UACGGAGGGGGCUAGCGUUGUUCGGAAUUACUGGGCGUAAAGCGCACGUAGGCGGCUUUGCAAGUUAGAGGUGAAAGCCCGGGGCUCAACUCCGGAAUUGCCUUUAAAACUGCAUCGCUAGAAUUGUGGAGAGGUAAGUGGAAUUCCGAGUGUAGAGGUGAAAUUCGUAGAUAUCCGGAAGAACACCAGUGGCGAAGGCGACUUACUGGACACAUAUUGACGCUGAGGUGCGAAAGCGUGGGGAGCAAACAGG
rnacentral:rRNA from 1 species